rnacentral:lncRNA from 1 species
CUUAGCAUUCCCCAAACUAGUUAGAUCUAUCAAACCUGCUUUGCCCAUGAACACCCCUUAACAUCCUGAGAGGCUGGUGUUCCGUGGACGCCUCUGGUAAACAGCGGUUGGGUGGAGCUAACGGCCGAGUUCUUAGCCCAGCCCUGUCAAUAAGCUAAGUGGCCUUGGCUGAAUUGCAUGCCCACCGGGGCCUGCUCACCUUCCUGUUGGCACGGGAUAAGGAAGUCUGUCCUGCCUGGUCUGAGGGUUUUCCAGACAUCCAGGAAUGGAAAUUCCCCAUUUUUCCUAGGUGAUCUCUUCCAGUGUUCAGCAUUUGAGGCAUCCUGUCUCCUUUGGCUAUGAGGUCAAGAUGGUCACAUCUGCUUCUCCAGGUGGAGCUCCAACUCCAUUAGCUUCUCCCCAGGUGGGUGGAGGAGCACGAAGGUACCUGGUCCUCCUCCUUCCGUCAUGACCCAGCCCUUCCCCUUUCCCUUGCUCAGGGUCCUGGGUCCUCCUCCAGGACAGUCAGGCUGGCUUGGGGAGGAUGAGGAGGGUCACGCUGCAGCAUUUCCCUUUCCAUGUUGGGCAGUUGGUCUGGUUGGUGGUUCAGCUCCAGGAAACGUGUCAUCUGGAUCAGGGCGAUUCUCGGUGUCCCCUCUGCUCCCUGAGCUGCAGAGACACAGGGAAGACUGUGAAGAUUCUGGGGCAGACAGUGCUGGACCUGAUUCCCUGAGAACACCUCUGCCCCAUGCAAGUUUCUGAGAACGCCACCCGGAAGGGUGCGCUUUAGAGCCACAGUGGUUGGGCCAAGCCUUUGGGGCCCAGCUCUGAGAGCCACAGACUCUUCUUCUUGCUCGUCUUGUCUCCACCAGAGCCGCCUUUGCCACAGGAGCAGAGCCACAAACAGAAACGGAGCCAGCAUGGCGGAGACUGGAGCCAGGGCCCAUGAGCCGCUUUCAUCUUCUGGAAAAGCACUGGAAGGAGCCAGGGCCGGAUGGGAAGAACACAGGAGAGGGAGGUUGGAGAUGGACAGGCUGAAGACCACUGCCCCCCAGCCCUCGCUUGUUUCACAGGUGGAGAAGCCGAGCCAAGUUGGCCACCCUCAGACCACGGCUGUUGGUAGCCCAGCUGGAACUAGAAAUGUCAUCUCGGGCCAGGGAUUUAGCUCAGUGGUUUUGCCGCCUGCUGCGCGAGCGCAAUUACCCGAGUUCGAUCCCCGGUACCAAAAAAAAAGUAGAAAUGUCAUCUCCAGGCUCUGCAGCCCCAGCCCCUGUCCUCCUCCCCCUUCCCGAGUGCUGUGCCCACAGCAAGAAAGAGGACACUGCGGGUCAGGGACUCCGCCUUGGCAUCGGGCUCCACUACCAUCAUUCCUUGUGCUUUCAGUGUUCCUCUCUCUGGACCAUCUGCUCUUUAUCUUAACUUUAAAAAGGUCUGGAAUGUUCCAGCCUAAAACUGUGAUCAUUCUGUCAUUUAUAUUGCGCUUGCAAACUCCAUGGGAAUACGUAGGUAGCCUCCUCCCAGGGUGCACAGCACCGGUGUCUGACGUUCAUCCCUGCCCUUUACGUCCUGCAGGCAUGAAAGGCCAGAACUGAGCAGAGGGAAGGGAGGUGCGGGGACCAGAGCAGAGCCUGGGCCUCACCUCUUCUCGGAGGACUCCUUGCCAGGGGGUCUCUGGGGUCGCGCUGCUGGGCCCUGACUCGUCGUUGCUUGGGGACCCUGGUCUCCAGCAGCGCUGCUGAGCUCCGCCUCGGUGCUUCCUUCCACAG